rnacentral:tRNA from 1 species
CAGUAGCUCAGUUGGACAGAGCAGGAGCCUUCUAAGCUCAAGGUCGGGGGUUCAAAUCCCUCCUGGC